UCGGGAAUUUUGGGCAAUGGGCGAAAGCCUGACCCAGCAACGCCGCGUGAAGGAUGAAGUAUUUCGGUAUGUAAACUUCGAAAGAAUAGGAAGAAUAAAUGACGGUACUAUUUAUAAGGUCCGGCUAACUACGUGCCAGCAGCCGCGGUAAUACAGAGGCCACGAACGUUGUUCGGAAUCACUGGGCAUAAAGCGCACGUAGGCGGCUAGGUCCGUCCGAUGUGAAAGCCCCCGGCUCAACCGGGGAAUUGCAUCGGAUACAGCCUGGCUUGAGGACGGUUGGGGUGAGUGGAACUCCUGGUGGAGCGGUGAAAUGCGUAGAUAUCAGGAGGAACACCGGUGGCGAAAGCGGCUCACUGGACCGUUACUGACGCUGAGGUGCGAAAGCUAGGGGAGCAAACGGGAUUAGAUACCCUUGUAGUCCCUGAGCGGGCUGGCAAGGCGCAU
rnacentral:rRNA from 1 species